AUGACUUUAUUUGAUGAUAAUCCCACUAUUUUGGAAGAGUGUCAACUUUGCAUGCAUGUGGAUCAUAUACAGGAUAUGUUAUGUGAUAGCUAUAUUGUUGAAUUUGAAUAUGAUCCCACAUGUAAUUAUUAUGAGAGAGGGAAAUAUGGUUGUAGAAAUUUUCGUGUUACUAAAUUACCUCUUGUUAUGUUGAGACUGUCAAUGUUUUAUUCUUCUACCUUGCAUAUGCUAGUUUUUGCUUGCCUUCAUAUUUUGUUUUAUUAUAAAAUGCCUAUGCGUAGGAAGUAUGUUAUACAUAAAUAUGUUUGUAACAUGUUUUGUGAUGCUCUCUGUGUGCUUCAAUUCUUGUCUUUUAAUGUGAGCAUCAUUAAAAUUAUCAAUGCCUAG
rnacentral:rRNA from 1 species